UACAGAGGUCUCAAGCGUUGUUCGGAUUCAUUGGGCGUAAAGGGUGCGUAGGUGGCAUGGUAAGUCGGAUGUGAAAUCCCGGGGCUCAACCCCGGAACUGCAUUCGAUACUGCUUUGCUUGAGGACUGGAGAGGAGAUUGGAAUUCACGGUGUAGCAGUGAAAUGCGUAGAUAUCGUGAGGAAGACCAGUGGCGAAGGCGGAUCUCUGGACAGUUCCUGACGCUGAGGCGCGAAGGCCAGGGGAGCAAACGGG
rnacentral:rRNA from 1 species